UGAAAGUAAGGAUCUAUUUCAUCCAUUUUUGGAUCCCUAGUAUCAACACAGUACCUGGCACAUAGAAGUUCUGAAGCGAACUGUACCAAAUAAAUCAAUAAUAACUAGAGGUUUACUGAUGUGUCUUACCACACUGCAAAAGAAUAAUAAGCUCUGAUGUUAUAAUUUAAGAGUAGAGUACCAUAGACGUAGGUAAGGAAAGGUUGACGGGUUGGUUUUCCAAUUACUGGGAAAUUGAAUGGAAAAAAGAUGCAAAGAGGAAUAAUUUCGGAGAUGGUCCACACUCUGUCUAUGGAUUGUGUAUCUCUCUCAAUCAACUUACUUCUUACCUAAAAAAGAAUGAAAGGAAAAAGAGACUAAGAAAAAAGAAAGAAAGAAAGAGAGAAAGGAACUACAGGCGAGUAUUCUCACUAUGUAGUCUUGAUGAAGUCAAGCUUAUUUCUUAUUCGAAACAGAGAACAAACACAUCCCCUCUUUCCUUAAGAUAAAAUACAAACUUGAAAUGGUCUCUCAAAAAUCAUUAUGAAAUCUUUUCAACCAAAUGACUGCAGGGAAUUGAAACUGAGAUGAUGUCUGAGUCAGACGGCUGGGAUAAUUUUCGUUAGUAGGACUACUUGUGCCACUGCUGAUUUGGUAACAACCUCAGAGCAAAUCUCAUUUAUUCCCAGGGUGGAUGACCUUAAUUUGUUUCAGCGAAAAACGAACAAAGAAAUGAUGAAGAACAGAGCCUGUUUCUUUCUCAGUGGAUGUAGGCUUCAACCCAAGAAUGCGGUCUUCAGCCUCCAAAUGGAAGCAUCUCUUUCAGGAGGAAGAAAGGAGAGAGAGGCAAAGAUGAGAUGGCGAACAAUAAGCACCAGUCCUUUCUUAAGGAAGGUUCCUGGAAACCCCUUUAUAGAAUUUAGUCAUGUGCAUGCCUAGCUGCAGGGGAGGGUGGGAAAUGAAGUCUUUGUUUUUGAUGCUCCUGUGCUCAGCCAUAGCUAGAAAGUAGAAUAGAUACUGGGGAACAACUCUGUGUCUAUUCUACUCCCUAAAGUGGCUACCACAGGCACA
rnacentral:lncRNA from 1 species